AGCGAACGCUGGCGGCAGGCUUAACACAUGCAAGUCGAGCGGGCCCUUCGGGGUCAGCGGCAGACGGGUGAGUAACACGUGGGAACGUACCCUUUGGUUCGGAAUAACGCUGGGAAACUAGCGCUAAUACCGGAUACGCCCUUUUGGGGAAAGGCUUGCUGCCGAAGGAUCGGCCCGCGUCUGAUUAGCUAGUUGGUGGGGUAAUGGCCUACCAAGGCGACGAUCAGUAGCUGGUCUGAGAGGAUGAUCAGCCACACUGGGACUGAGACACGGCCCAGACUCCUACGGGAGGCAACAGUGGGGAAUAUUGGACAAUGGGCGCAAGCCUGAUCCAGCCAUGCCGCGUGAGUGAUGAAGGCCUUAGGGUUGUAAAGCUCUUUUGUCCGGGACGAUAAUGACGGUACCGGAAGAAUAAGCCCCGGCUAACUUCGUG
rnacentral:rRNA from 1 species